AUGGAGGAUCACUUCAAGACCCAGACUGUACCUCACCCACUUGGGUUAGUUUUGCUCUCUAUCUCUCUCUCUCUCUCUCUCUCUCAAUGGGAUGGAAGAUCAUAUGUUUGAAACCAUUUAGAUGAUUUCGUGUGGUUACAGAGAAAAUCCUUAUUCAUCUCCAAGCAAAGAGAGGAAACAACCAGAGAUAGAUAUAUGGAGUCACCCUAAGAAUCCUAUCCAUUCAUUUUGGAAUGAGUGGCUAGGAGGCAACAUUUAAACAAAUGUUGACUAUCAUUAUUUUGGUAUCUAUAUAAAUUAUUGAUGACAUGCAAAAGUCUACUGUUUUUUUAUUUUUUAUUUUUAUAAGUAAUGAAGUUUUAUUAGCAAAAACAGAAUACAUCUGGUAUACAGGAAGUAGACUUGAUGAACAUCUCAGCUAAGCUCUAAAAUUCCAAUGCUCCAUAAAUUCUAAAAAGUUUGAGAAAAAGAAACUUCAUGAAGCAGCCACGCAUUCGAACAAAGUUCUUAGGAAGUACAAUUUUUGAUAUAAUUGUCCUCUCAUUUUAAAUGGAUGGAUUGUAUGUUUUUUGAUAGGGAUGGAUUGUAUGUUAGGAACCCAAUGGUUGAGUUACCCUAAAAACUCUAAAGGAACCUAUUUGAUUUAAGUUCAGAGUGUUCACCAUACCUAUCAAAAAAAAGUUUCAGAGUGUUCACCAUCGUGAACAUGACAUCCUUUUUAUGAAAUAAAUCUUGAUUACCUAUCUCAAAAAAAAAAAAAAAAAAAAAAAAACUCUAAGGGAUCCUAAUCCAAAGAGAAGAAUUGUUUAGUUUAUUUGAUUUUUUUUUUUUUAAUAAUUUGAUACGGAAGAAAGCAAUUUUCUAUUUCUUUUCUUCUUAAUGCUUUAAAAAAAAUCAGUGAUGAAUUUAAAUUGUGUUAAAAAAUUAAUAUUAUAUUGGCAUAAUUAUUUCUUUUUAUAUUGUCGUGAGCAGGACUAGGAUAUGUGUGAAGAAUUUACCAAAAUAUGUGGCAGAGGAUCGCCUUCGAGAGUUAUUUUCUCAAAAAGGAGAAAUAACAGAUGCGAAGCUAAUGCGAACCAAGUAUAACUCCAUUUAUUUAUAUAUAUUUCCUUUUUAUUUAUUUUUAUGUUGGAUUCAUUGUUUGUCAAUUUUUCAAGUUAUGGUUUAGUUCUAAAAAUUUUGCUUGUUUUUGCUUCAUUUGUGGGUUUCUUUAGGAAUGGAAAGAGCAGCUCUUUUUUAUUUUUUGGUGUUUAUGUUCAAUUCGUUGUUUGUCAUUUUUUUAAGUUAUGGUUUAGUCCUUAAAGUUUGUGUGUGUGUUUUUCUUCAUUUGUGGGUUUCUUUAGGAAUGGUAAGAGCAGGCAGUUUGCUUUUAUUGGGUUCCGCACAGAGCCUGAAGCUGGAGAAGCAAUCAAAUACUUCAACAAAUCUUACAUUGAUACUUUUAGGAUUACUUGUGAGGUGCGCAUUGCUGUAUCUUGUACUGUUUAUUAUUAUUAUUGUUAUUAUUAUUAUUUUAAAAUAAAUGUUUGGUAGUUUUUUUUUUUGUAAAACAUCAGUUGUAUCUUGAUUAAUUAGGAAGUUCCGUCUGUAGCUGAAUUUACACUAAUUGCAAUUUUCUGCCUAAUUUGGACAAGGAAAAAAUAAUUUUUUGUUCAAUAGUCUAAUGAAUAUUUCAAGCAAAUUUCUGAAUAUUACUUUCCAUUAGUGAAAUUUCUUAUUCAAUUACUGCAUUUAGUUUUCUGCAUUUAAUUGAGUUGAAAUUUAGGAUUUCAAUCUGAACUUGAAUUUUACUGUUUUAGGCCGUUAUAUGUUCUUGGCUUAAGAGGAUUUCUGCUGCAUUAUUUUUGAUAAAUCAGUAAAAAAUGAGACUAAUUAAGUACAUCUAAUUGUCUGAAAGUGAUUCUUUUUUUGAUAGGUAAUAGAGAAUUUAUUGAUAAAAAUAGAACAUCGUGUUCACGAUGAUGAUCACAUUGAACUUGAAGCAAAUACAAAAAUCUUAAGGAGUAGAACUAAAAGAAAGCAGAAAAGCAUGAAUGGAAGUACAUUGUGUGUAACCCCAAACUUGGGACCACUAAAAUAAAGUACCAAAAAUAAGAGAUUUUAAAAGAUCCAAAGAUCUUUCUUUAUCCUCGAAAGUACGGGCAUUGUGUUCCUGCCAAACUAACCAUAACAGACACCUUGGAACCAUAUUCCAGAUCUUUGACUGGUGCCUUCCCAGCCAGACAAAAAAAAAAAAAAUUACAAGAAUCAAGAAAGGAAAAGAAUGAUUGGUUUCGCAGAGUAGCCAACUAAUCUAAUAAAGUUCUAAAGAAAAAUAGCUUGAGGUUUGGCAUGGAACUCUCAUUAUCUUCAAACAGUUGAAGGUUCUGGUUUACGUCGUAGUUUUAGGGUUGGUGGUAGAUGGGGGGAGGUGAAUGUGUCUUGCACCUUUUGUUCGUUGUUCGUGGAUGAUACGAUUUUGUUUUGUGAUGCAAAUGAGGAGUAGAUUCUAUAUGUUCGGAUGCUUCUUCUUUGUUUCCAGGAUUAAAAGUUAAUGCUUUGAAGAGUGAGAUGGUUCCCACUGGGGAGGUUCCUAAUGUCCAUGUCUUUGUAGAUAUUUUGGGUUGCCAGAUUGGGUCUUUGCCUAUGACCUAUCUUGGUAUGCCACUGGGGGCUUCCCACAAGUCUCCUACUAUUUGGAAUCCUAUCUUGGAGAAAAUUGAGUGUAAGUUGGCUGGAUGGAAGAAGAUGUAUUUAUCAAAAUGUGGAAGAUUGACGUUGUUUAAGAGUAUAUUAUCUAGUAUUCCUACUUACUUUUUAUCUCUUUUUACUAUCCUUACGCAUGUGGCCAAUAAAAUUGAGAGGUUGCAAAGGGAUUUCUUUUGGGGGGAUUCCAAGACACACUUGGUGGGAUGGGAUAAGGUGUGUGCACCUUUGGAAAAUGGUGGGUUAGGAUUAAGGAAAUUAACUAGUUUUAAUAAAGCCUUACUAGGGAAAUGGUUAUGGCAGUUUGGGGUUGAGGAGACAAGGCUUUGGAGAAGGGUUGUAGCUCUGAAGUUUGGGGAAGAGUGAGGGGGAUGGAGCUCCAAGCUAGAUAGAGGGGUACAUGGGUGUGGUUUGUGGAGAAGUAUCCAAAUGGGUUGGGAGGUUUUUAGCAAAAAUAUUCAGUUUGAGGUAGGGGUGGGGGAUAGAGUGAAGCUUUGGAUAUAUUGAUGAUGUGGGGAUUCUCCACUCCAAUUGACCUUUCCGGUUGUGUAUGAGAUUGUUUCCAAUAAAGAGGCAUCAGUGGCCUUUUCUCUUGAACAGUUGUGGAUAGAGGAACGGAGAAGUUGGGAUGUUCGUUUCAUUCGGAGACCAAAUGAUUGGGAAAUGGGUGGUGUGGAUGAAUUUCUCCAUACUUUGGGUUCUAAUUUAUGAAAUUACAAGAAUUACAAGGGUGGCACAUGGGCUUAUUUCAGAUUCUCAGAAUGCAUUUGUGAAAGGUUGACAGAUAUUGGACUCUUUUUUAAUUGCUUCAGAAUGUAUUGAUAGUAGACUGAAGUCAGGUGUUCCAGGAGUGUUGUGUAAGUUAGAUGUGGAGAAGGCAUAUGACCAUGUGAGUUGGGGUUUUUUAAUGUAUAUGCUUUAGCGCUGUGGGUUUUCAGAGAAAUGGAGAAAGUGGAUAUUGUGCUGCAUUUCUACUGUUAAAUUCUCCAUUCUGAUCAAUGGUAGUCCUUCUGAUUUUUUUGGUAGUUCUAGGGGGAUUCGGCAAGGGGACCCUUUGUCUCCGUUGCUAUUUGAUAUUGUUAUGGAGGGUUUGAGUCGUAUGUUGGAUGUGGCUGCUACUACUAAUCAGUUUUCAGGCUUUUCUGUAGGUAAUACGGCUGGUAAUUCGGUGAUGGUGUCUCAUCUUUUAUUUGCUGACGAUACUCUUAUCUUUUGUGAUGCUAUUCCUACGCAAAUAGCUCGUUUGAGAGCAAAUCUGGCUAGAUUUGAGGAGGUCUCAGGCUUAAGGAUUAAUUUGGAGAAAUCUGAGUUGGUUCCUAUAGGGAGGGUGCAUAAUAUGGAUGUUCUAGUGGGGAUGUUGGGUUGUAGGCAAGCCUCUCUUCCAUUGAGAUAUUUGGGGCUACCGUUAGGAGCUAAUUUUAAGGAGUUGUCAGUUUGGAAUCCUAUUUUGGAGAAGAUGGAAAGGAGAUUAGCAGGAUGGAAGAGGUUGUAUCUAUCUAAGGGGGGUAAGGUAACUCUUAUUAAAAGUACCCUUUCCUCUUUACCUACAUACUUCCUUUCGCUUCUGCCUUUACCUGGGAAUGUGGCAAAUCGUAUGGAGAAGUUACAACGUGACUUUUUGUGGAGUGGUAUUAAUGGUGAUCCUAAAUUACACUUAGUCAAUUGGGCUCAGGUUUGUAAGCCGUUGCAGGUUGGAGGGUUGGGUAUUAGACGAUUGAGGAGUUUUAAUUCUGCCUUGUUAGGAAAAUGGUUAUGGAGGUAUGGCAUGGAGACCGAUGCUCUAUGGAGGAGGGUUAUUGAGGUAAAAUAUGGGAAUGAUUGGGGUGGUUGGUGCACGAAAAAGGUGACCAGUGCUUAUGGUGUUAGUUUGUGGAGACAUAUUAGGAGUGGUUGGGUGAAGUUUUCUAAACUACUUCUAUAUAAUGUGGGGGAUGGUAGUAGAGUGAAGUUUUGGAAGCAUGUGUGGUGUGGAGAUCGUACUCUACAAGAGGCUUUUCCGGAACUUUAUUGUAUUAGUAGAACAAAAGAUUCUUCAGUAGCGGAGGUUUUGUGUUGGUCUGGUGGGAGGAUUCAUUGGGAUGCUAAAUUUCGUCGUCCUCCACAAGAUUGGGAACAAGAAUCCUUUGAUCUAUUUAUGGAUAUGGUCUACUCUUCGACGGUUCGGGGAUUGGGUCCGGAUCGGGUGUGUUGGAAGCCAGCAAGGGGUAGAGGUUUUGAGGUUAGAGGAUUCUAUCUUUCUUUCUACCCUCCUACCAUCUUAUCCUUCCCUUGGAAGAUGAUUUGGAAAUCGAAGGUUCCUCCAAGGGUAGCUUUCUUUUCAUGGUCUGCUUCCUUAGGUAAGAUUUUAACAACAGAUAACCUUCGCAAACGACGUGUGUUAGUUCUUGAUUGGUGCUAUAUGUGUAAGAAGUGUGGGGAGUCAGUGGAUCAUCUUCUUCUUCAUUGCCCCAUUGCUUGUGAGUUGUGGUCGUUGGUGUUUUGUUUGUUUGGAAUUCAUUGGGUUAUGCCUCAGAAGGUUAUUGAGUUGUUUGAGUCUUGGAAGGGUAAGGUUGGUCGACAUAGAAAUUUUGAGUUGUGGAGAAUUGUGCCCCAUUGCUUGUUAUGGUGUAUUUGGCGUGAAAGGAAUGCUAGAAGUUUUGAGGGAUGUGAACGCUCUAUGUUAGAGAUUAAGUCUUUCUUUUUACACACUCUCCUCGAUUGGAGUGUGGUCUUUUGUCAUUUUUCUUGUUCUUCCCUUCCUGUUUUACUUGAUCGUUGUAAUCUUCGUUUUUGAUUUCUGCCCCCAUAGUACAUUCCCAAUGUACUCGGGUUGGCUGUUUUUCUUCUUUUAAUAAAAUUUUCGUUACUUAUCAAAAAAAAAGAAUUUUAGACAUAUAGUGUGCAUUUGGCUCCAGCUUAAAAAGCUAAUUUAUUUUACUAUUUAACUUAUUUUUUCUAUUAUUCAUAGGUCCAACUGCACUUUUUGAUAAUAUUUAUGGGGUCCACUGUACUAUUUCAGCUAACUUUUACCUUUAUCUACAGUACUUACAGCAAAAAAUUUUCAGUUUCAGUAAAAUAAGUGAAUCCUAGACAGACCCAUAAUUUAUCAUUUUAUACAACAAAAAUUAUAUUUGAAAAGAAAUGUUGCAGUAGUGAUAAAGCCACUUGAGUUAUAAAAGGAUAUGCAUAAUAUAGGUUUCAAAUAUGUAAAGAGUGAAAAAAAUGUAGAAAUUCUAGCAAAGAAAAAAAGGGAAACUACACUUUACGCAUCUUUGGUUUGGGGUGUCUAACGUUUACCUUUAUCUACAGUACUUAAAGCAAAAAGUUUUCAGUUUCAGUAAAAUAAGCAAAUCCCAAACAGACCCAUAAUUUAUCAUUUUAUACAACAAAAAUUAUAUUUGAAAAGAAAUGUUGAAGUAGUGACAUUUUACUCCCUGAGUUUCUCACUCUCCCCUUUAAGCUUCCAAAACCCACCUUAUCACACUUCACUGUUAAAAAGUAAGGUAAAGUUUCAUUCUUUUUCUUUUUUCUUUCUUUCUCCCUUAUCUAACCAAUUUCCUCUCAUGAGUGGCUUUGGAUGGGAAUGGUUUAGGCUUUUUGAAUGGGGUGGCAGUUGGGUCCAUGGUGGCUGGCCAUGGAUUCAUGGGUUUGAUUGGGUGUUUGGGUUUGGGUUUCCUGUGGUGGUUUGGGUGGGUUUCAUGUGGCUUGAGGUGGUGGUGGUGAGGGGUGGAUUGGUUUGGAUAUUUUUGGUAACGGUGCUUAUGGACUCACGUCUAGCGUGGUGAAAACGGUUUGUGACUUGUUAACAUGCUUGUAGAGGGAGAAAAAAGAAAGAAAGAAUGGUUUGGAUACUCGGAUGCCUACCUUUUUGCAUGUUCUAUUGCUUCAAGAGAUUCUUAUGGUAUCCAUUUUACAUGUUUGAUUUUAUGAUUGUUGCUCUUUUCUCUUGCUUGGUUUCCUCCUUUUACAAUCGGUGGAUUUUAUUGCCUUGUGGGUGUAACGUAUGGUGGAGGCGAUAGAGUGUAGGUCUUCCAGGUUGGUGGUGAGGCAUCACAAGAUGGGCUAUAGGGUGGCUUAAGAUUUAUCGGAAAUGGUUAAAGAGGUUAGUGUUAAAGGAAUUGAGGGCUACAUGCAAAAACAUGCCUUUGUGCUAAGUUUGAGAAUGGUUUUCCGGUGAAGUCAGAGGUUGCAUUGGAUUCUUUUGGGGAUUUUAUUAGCUAAUAAAAAACCUUAAGGACUGAAAUUUCACUUGAUAUCACGUCAUUUUGUAUGUGAAUGUACCAAUGUUUACCUUGUUUUGCAUCUUCCAUUGGAUGUGUUGUGCAUCCUAUCCAUGUGAAAGACGAGGCUUAGACAUCUAAUCUGAGAAAGCUGUGUUUUUAAUCUAUGGAUUUAGCGGUUUUGAUACAUUAGGUAAACCUUGUGAGCAGCCAGUAGUGAAGCCUACUGCUGCUGCUGAGGCUUGUAAGUCCUUCAGUUAGUCUAAGAUCUGUUACUUGUGGUCUAUUUCUUCUUUCUCCAAAAGAAGAGAGAGAUUGGCCAGAUGUGGGAGAGACAAAGAAAAGAAGAAGUCAUGCAAACAAUAAAGAGUUUGAGGAAAAACAUGAUAAAAUGCCAAAAGAUUCAAGAAUUGUAAUCUAGUUUGGAUGUGGGGUCUUCUUGGCACCUUUCAUAGGCUACUUUAGUUAAUAUUGAGUCUUAGUGUUAAGUUUAGGUUAGAAAGUUGCUGUUUCAGUUUUAAUUAAGUUUUAUUAAAGUUGGGGUAGUUUGAUAAUUUGUAGAUUUUUUGGAAUUGGCAAAGGCCCCCAUGAGUCUUAUUUUAUGUUUUAAGUCCUUUUUCUAUUUCAUUUAAAAGUUUUUAAGUACCUCAAUUUGUUAUUAGGAGUUUUAGUCUUUCUAGGAAUAGGUUAUUUAGGAGCCCUAGUCUUUUGAGGAAAAGAUUUAGCAAUAGCCUAUAUAAAAGCUUUAUUGUAGUAAAUAAUAUUUAUAAAUAGAGAGAUUGAAUUUUAUUAAAUUCUAGCAGCUUAUUUUAAGCUUUGAGGGUGUGAUUGCCUAGUGUAUAUCUUUCUUUGUUUCUCAUUUUAUUUAUUGUUUUAACACCAAACAAUCAUCAAGUUUAUUCAAGAUGUUAUCUUUUUAUUAUCUAACCCUAUGUAAACUGUUAAACCUCAAACCCUAAUCAAGGAGCCUAAUUUAUUGUUGAAUUCCUAAAGAUCCUACAUUAAAACUGGUAUCAGAGCCCCUUAAGGAUUCUAUCCUGUGUCAAGAAGUGAGCAAUGCACAGAUGAUUUUAGCCUUAUUUUAAUGGUGAAUUGUGUUGAAUUCUGACAAGACAAGCUCAGGGUAUAAAGUGUCACUUUUUAAACCACAUAUAGGUAGAGUGAAAUCAUUCCAAGUCAAUGGUGGAUUAAGUGUACCCCAGGCCCCCUAAAACAAAAAAGAAAAUUUAGUAUGUGGUUAAGCCCUAUUUUGACCACAUUCUGGAUCUGAUGAGAAUGCCAAAAAAAAAAAAAGAAAAAAAAGAGAGAGGAAAACAUAACUUGGGAAUUUAGUGUACCUUUAAGUUGCAACUAGGUGUCAAAUAUUUGUCUUUAGUAUUGGAACUGGCUGAUCUACCAAAGAUUCUGUUUUAUUAUAGCUUUACUUUAGCAUGAUAUCAGUAGCUUUUGCUUGAAGAAGCAACCGAUAGUUAAGUGAAGCAUUUGGCAAAAGCAGAAUUCCAGGACAAUUGAAGGAUGUGAAAAUUCUGUUUCUGACCUGAAGCUUUUAUUCCUCAAGUCUUUGUUUGAAUGGAUAUAUGCUUUGGGGCUUCUGUCUUUUGGAUCUUUCCUUGAGAUGCUUGACAGUUGUUCUUUUAGAGUUUAAAGUUGGUGUACUUGUUGUACUCAUACGCUCCCUGUGUACAUGGGCUAUGUCUUUUCUCUUUUUUUUAACGAAAUAUUUACUUGUAAAAAAAAAAAAAAAAGAAGGAUGGUACCAAUAUUCUAUCCUUUGGUCAGUUGGAGUUGCAGGGUGGACUUUGACCUGCAACCUCAUGGAUGCCAUUUGGGUCAUUCCAAGAUAUACUGCUUUGUGCUUGAAAUAGCAAGCUCAUGACUGGGUGCUUAAAUCUGGGAUGAAUUAUCUAUUUUAUUAAAGACCUUCUAACUACUCUAAAUUAUGUGUAUGUGUUUGUGCUUUAACAUUUGUCUUAUAUGCUGUGCGUUACUUUUUAUCUAGAUGCACCAGCUAUCGAAAUUUGCCUUUAGCUGUGCAGUACAAUUUUUUUUUGAAGUACCAAUGCCUCUUUCUUUCUUCUUGCAAUAAUUUUAUAACAUUAUUGAUUCAGGUUCUGCAAUUGGAUUUCGUUUGGAUAGUCUCCUUAAACUCACUGAUACACGGGCCCGGAACAACAAGAUGACUCUUAUGCAUUAUCUUUGUAAGGUAGAAUAUUGUUCAUUUUAGCCUUUGCUGAUGCUUAUUUUUCUGUCGAGCUUGCCUCAUUAGCUUAAUUACAGGCACAUUUGUUGCUUUGGGAUUUUUUUGUUGUCAUUGGUAAUCACAUGAGAACUCACUUUAAGUUCCCGCAGACACAGGUGUCUUUGGUGUAAUGUAAGAUCAGAGAGUUAAAUAUCUCCUAAUUUGGCAUGUCUCUAAAAUUGUAUUUGUACUAUUUGAUUGUGCAUUUGAUGUAGUUAGACAUUAUUAGAAGGUCUAGAUUCCGAAUACCUACAUUCUAUUGAAAUAUUUUGAUGUAGGAAAGUAAUUGCUACCAACUGCAUCAUAUUCCGUCUCUCUCCAUAAAGUAAAACUCCUUCCAUCCCAAAUUUUGUGUCAUGUUUCACUCAAAACAAAGUUUAAGGAGACUUACAUUGACACAUUGUUAAGGAUAGAAUGGGAAAGUGAAAAUUUACUUCCUUUUACUUUUCACAAAUUGAGAUCAAUUUGGGACUGUCGGAUGAAGGAGACUCUCUCUCUCUCUCUGGAAGUGGCAUAAAGUGCUUCUCUAAUUAAAGAAAUACAGCGAAGUAUUAGUGGAUGGAGAGCUCUUCCUGAAAGAGGACUGAAUGGUGAAGAAUGAGAAAUUGUAAUUGAGGGUUGAAUAUUGGGUGUGUUUGUAAGUUACAAAUCCAAAAAAUAUAAAAUAAAAUAAAGGUUGAAAUCGAAUUGGAGGGAUAUCCAUGGAGGCAGCUUGAUUAAAGCAAGUGAGAGAAAUACUAUUCUGGGAAGAAAACAACCUCAUAAAUAGCCAUCCUUAUGCAGCUUGAUAAUGACGUUUUGCUGGCAAGUUUCAAGUGCAUUUGGUGGAGCAGCUUUAACAGUAUGGAAAAAUGAUUGCUAACAUCCUACAGAAAAAGGAUUCCAUCCCCUCUUUGUUUCCUAUCAGAGUUGGAGAGAAGAGCAUCUGGUUGAAGAGGAGAAGAGGUAUUAACAAAUUAACACUUUUGUAGUUGGUUGAAUUGAGUCAUUAGUGAGGAGGUGUUAGACAAAGUUGUGUCUAACAGGGGAAGUUUAAUAUGUGGAAACUAUGUUUGAACAUAUCCAUAACACGUGCCUUUUUAAGUUUAGGGCAUUAGGAGUUUGAUGAAAUUUUGAGCAUGUACUCGGUGAAAGGAACUUAAUAAUGGUCAUUAUUGGACUUUUAGUACAUUAUACCCGACACUAUAUGAGUGUUUCUGGGCUAUCUCACCAUUGAGAUUGAUUUGAAGAGAGAAAUAUUGUAGUUCUUGCAGAAUCUGGAUCUAUUUUCAAUUUAUUGUUGGUCGGCAUUUGGAGAUAUUGGUGUUACUGUUAAUCUGUGCUGAAGUCUAUCCUCCCUCAUUUUGUGCAUAUUGAAUCAUGAAAUGGACAAAGAACAAAAGGAAUAAAGUGUAUUCAACUAGGCUUAACCUUAAGUUGUUUAUUAUCUCAUUUUGCUCAAGUAAGCCUUAGCAUCAAUUAAUUAGUCUGCUGUCUGCUACAUGGACCCAUUUUCACUAUCCAGUCAUAUGGAAGGUCAUAUUUUAUUACAAGCUAUCUGGGGCUCCUUCAGCACUUGACUAAUCCCUGGGUAUAUCUUUGAUGAUCAUAUUCUUCCCCCAUUUUAUCCAUGUCAUGUUGGUCUUACUUUACUGUUUUUGGUCUGAUGAAAAUAAAAAAAUUUGGGACUUUUGCAUGCUUCUGUUCAGGGAAAUUUGUAUCUAUCUCUUUAUGACCAAUUUCUGCUUGGCAAGCUGUAGGUGCUUGCUGAGAAGUUGCCAGAACUUCUAGAUUUUCAUAAAGACUUAGUGAAUUUGGAGGCUUCAACAAAGGUAUUUUUUUUUUUUUUGCUUCAUUUUUUGGGUAUUAUUUUUGUGGAACAGUUCAUUUUCCGUAUAACGUGUCUUUGUUGCUAAAAGUUUUACUACCAUGCAGAUACAAUUGAAAUAUCUGGCAGAGGAAAUGCAGGCCAUUAGUAAGGGGCUGGAGAAGGUUGUACAGGAAUUGACUGCCUCAGAAAAUGAUGGUCCUGUGUCUGAAAAAUUUUGCAAGGUACUCUGCAAUGGCUGCAUAUGUGUUCAUGCGUGUGAGUAGAGUUUCUCUAUGUAUGUUGCUGCAUGAUAUCCUGCAGCUGAUAGAUGCAUUGCUUUGAGACAUGCAAUAAGCUUCAAGAGUUCUAUUCCCAGUUGUACCUUGAAAGUUUUUUUACGGGACUUUUGUGAUAGACCAAUGGUAUCUGUUACAUCUGUAAACCCUGUCUAGGAUGUGAUUCUUUGUAAUCUGUGGCAGCAGAUAUUCUCUAGACUUUUGGACCUUUUGAAUGGUGGUGUGAUUGCACAUACUCAUUAUAGAUUCCAGAUAAAAGUUAUUCCACAUUCAGAGUGAAAAAGUUAAUUAUCUCAGACUUGGAUACUUCAUAAUAUUGUGGAAUGGGAGAGUGACUUGGGGGGGGGGGGGGGGGGGGGGGGGGGGGGGGGGGACAUAAUUUUUAGCUUUUUGUAUAUUNUCAAAUUCCUAGGUCUCAAAAUCAGUUGCAUUAUUGAUUGUUACCGAAAGCUGAAACAGCAAAAGUUACAUUACAUGACAUGUAAGAUAAAACUUAUAAAGUCUUGCUGUAAUAAUAGUGUUUGUUUUUCCCAUUAUUGGUCAGUUGCACAUGCGGGCCUUAAAUCCACAACUUUACCAUCUACCCUGUUUUUAAAGGGAAGGUGGUGCCACUUGAGGUAGAGCUUAUUCACUUGCUAUAAUAAUAGAACUACAAAGAUUCAGUGAAAACAAUUGAAGCUUUUUAUUUUUUUUAUUUAUUUAGGGUUUUUUUUUUUUUUGGGGGGGGGGGAGUUCAGUUGUAAACUUGACUUUGAAUGUUUCUUACUAGUUUUUUUAACCAUAGUUAAAAGGUUUCUGACAAGACUUAAGAGUUGAUAUGAAAGCCACAAAAUAAUUGCAAUAUUUGUCAUCUUGUGCACUAACAUGGUAGAGCAUUCUGCUUGAUCUACCACCAUCUCAAGAAGGCAUGGCUUUUUUUCCUGUUUAAACACCUGCCAUUUGUCUACAACUGCUUUCAAAUCUAAGUUACUUUAUUUUAGAUUUAUUUUUCUUAUUGCAAUUAAUUCAGUUGUUAAUAUUUGAUCUUUCAUUUGGAAAUUUCCAGAUAUUAAAUGAAUUCCUUGGUCAUGCUGAAGCUGAAGUGAGGUCUUUGGCUUCACUUUAUACUAAUGUGGUAUGUAUUGAGUUUAUUUUGAUGGAAUUUGUUUCAGAUGCAAGUGUAUGCUUGCAAGAUGAUAUUUAAGCAUUACUAGACAUGUAUCUGAAUUUCAAUGUUUUCAGGGUAGAAAUGCUGAUGCUUUGGCUCAGUAUUUUGGGGAAGAUCCAGCUCGGUGUCCAUUUGAGCAAGGUAUUUUCGGUCUUAUAGUUUUGAUUAAUUUGUAUUCCUGUUAGAUGUUAAAGAAAAUUAAGUCUACCUGUUCUUUAUUUCUGAUAGGUAUCAUGUUUUAUUUUCUUAAUUCCCUCGUUUACCUUUCUGCACUCUUGUGUCUGAGCCGUGUUUAACAUGCUCACUACUAGAAAAGGAUCCUCCCAUUUUGAUUCUGAAAUGGAUAGUCCAUUUUAAGGUGAGGAUUUCUUUUUUGCGAAUCUAUUGGUGAAUAUUGUGCCAUUUCAUUUAAAACCAAUUACCAUUCCGUUUUUGGUGGAAUUGAUUUUGAAUGAUGUGGCAUCAUGUACACCUUUAGAUGCAUGAAUAAUUAAAUCUAUACCAUGAAAUGGAUCCUCUCCAUUUCAAAUCAAAUUGAGAGGAUCUUGAUCCCUCACUUCUUGUCCUAUUGGGCAACACUUGACCUUCAUGCUUAUUCUUUUUAUUUUUUCUUUGAGCUGAUGAACAAUCAAUUGCAUAUAUAUAUAUAUAUAUUAGCUUUUAGAAUUUCUCUAAUUGAUACUUACUAGGUUUAUACAUAUAUUACAUUUCUUGGCUCCCAGUUAUGCCAAGCAGUAAUAACCUUGUGUCUUUACUUUUGCAGUAAACAUAUUUGCCUUUUCCUUUCUAAAGGAUAUCAUUUUCUGUCUUUAAUUUUAUUUGGUAUGUCUUGUAGUCGUAUCUACUCUGUUCAACUUUGUGAGGAUGUUUGUACGAGCACAUGCGGAAAACUGCAAGCAGAUUGAGCUUGAAAAAAAGAGAGUGCAGAAGGAGGAAGAAGAGAAAUUGAAGUUAAAUGCACCCAAAAAGGGGCCUUUACACUGGAUGCAGACUGCCAUCAAGAGUGGCAACGUCAAAUGA
rnacentral:sRNA from 1 species